AGCGAACGCUGGCGGCAGGCCUAACACAUGCGAGUCGAACGGAUCCUUCGGGAUUAGUGGCGGACGGGUGAGUAACACGUGGGAACGUGCCCUUUGGUUCGGAACAACUCAGGGAAACUUGAGCUAAUACCGGAUGUGCCCUUCGGGGGAAAGAUUUAUCGCCAUUGGAGCGGCCCGCGUCUGAUUAGCUAGUUGGUGAGGUAACGGCCCACCAAGGCGACGAUCAGUAGCUGGUCUGAGAGGAUGAUCAGCCACACUGGGACUGAGACACGGCCCAGACUCCUACGGGAGGCAGCAGUGGGGAAUCUUGCGCAAUGGGCGAAAGCCUGACGCAGCCAUGCCGCGUGAAUGAUGAAGGUCUUAGGAUUGUAAAAUUCUUUCAGCGGGGACGAUAAUGACGGUACCCGCAGAGGAAGCUCCGGCUAACUUCGUG
rnacentral:rRNA from 1 species